AGUUCCCCGACCAGGGAUCCAACCCACGUCCCCUGCAUUGGAAGGUGGAUUCUUUACCACUGGACCACUAGGGAAGUCCCUAAAUACAUUUCUUGGCUUUCCUUUUAGAAAGGUUCUCUGGGGCUAUGUGCUAUGAAACAACAGAGUGCUUUCUUAGGUAAGUGACAUAGUGUCAUAUUGCUGUUCCAAACCCCCAAAAUGAGCAGAUUACAACGUAAUAAAUUUAAAAACACAGGAGUCAGAAAUUUUAAAUUCUAUAAUGUGACAUAAAUAAUUCUAUCUUAUUACUAUAAUUUGAAAUUUUACUACAAGUUUUCUAAAGUGUAUUAGAAGUAAGCAUUUUUGAGCCCGGCUGUCACAGCUUGUCACUGCUUAAAUUCCAAUAAACAGGUCACAAAAAUUAACUAAAUUUUAAAAGGCUGAAGGGAAAAAACGGAGGAAAUGUGUAAAGAAAUGAGCAAUAUUAGUAGAUUUUGUCCUGAAUAAUAUUCAGCUUGUAGGGCCUGUACUUUGUCUUACAGGUCUGUGACAAUGAGAGUGGGAAAGAGAAGGAUUUACCUUCUCUCCCCUUCCCCACGCUCAAUUAUUCUUACAGGUUUGUUCUGAUACAAGUCUUUUUCAAUAGGAUACCUCAUUUGAUUCUUACAACAGGCUGGGUGAAUAAAGGUGAGAAAUUUCAGGUGAGAAAGCUGAGAUGUACAUAUUAUUAACUGGGUCAACAUCCCAAGCCUAGUACAAAGCAGAGCUCUUACUCAAACUUAGUGGUGGUUGCCAUUGUUUUUUCCCCAGAUCCUAAUCUAGGACUUUUCCCCCUGUGUCACUUAGUUUGAUCGUUUUACACUUUGAGGAUGGCGUUUCUUGGUUUUUUUUCUUCCACAUUCUUUCUCUAAUCCCACAUCCCUGCCCCCACACCCACUAAUUUUUUCUCUAUUUAGGACUUAUUAUUAACUAAACCCUUUGCCCUGUAAUGGGAUUUUUUAAAAGAUUAAUGCUUUUAAUGCUCAAGCGUCUAGUUGAUUUCCUGGCGCAAAUUCUAACUAUGCCCAGUAGACCAUAAAUUUGUAAAAGAUUUUCAUAUACCUACAUGCAAAAGAAACUUUGCAUCCUUCAAAAAUAGAUUUUUUUAAUUGGUGAUGGGAGCUUAAUUCCCAAGAAUCUUUCUUAUUCCCAAGUAAGAUAGGCAACAUUGAUAGUGCUGUGGUUUUAGCAGCAAAUUUUUCUCCCCCACUGAAAAUGUGUGGAAUACCAAUAUAUAAAACAGAUAAAAUUUGUAUUCAUAUUAACUCACAGAUAUGACCCCAACCCAAAAGAAAGUGCAGUUGGCCCUCUGCAUCCACAGAUACAGAGGGCCAACGGUACUAUGCCAGUUUGUUUAAGGGACUUGAGUAGCCACAGAUUUUGGUAUCCAUGGCAGUCCUGGAAUCAAUCCCCCACAGAUACUGAAGGAUGCCUGUACUCAAAACAUAAAAUAGGUCUGUAUAAGAUAUGUGUGACAACAGCAUGACUCUCACUUGUUACUAUAUAAUUCUUAGGAUCAGAGCAUUACUGAGCAGAUGCAUCUUAACUUCAGUUGCUUUCACAAUAACCAUGCUAAACAUGUGCUCUAGCAGUAUACUCUAGUGUGAGUAUGUUCUGACCUAAAGAAAAUCAAGACCAAGUACAGGACAUAAGAAGCUCCACACAAAAAUGAGAUAACUUGACAAUAUAACUUAGUGUGUAUGUGCUCUCCAGUGUUUUACAAUUUGACAUGUAUGUGAGUGUAUUUAUAAAUUGGAGGAAAGCAUUUUAGCAAACAAUUUGAAUCAAAAUUUUGUGGGAUCCAUAGUAUAUCUUUUCAAAACCUAUGGGGUACUGAUUUUUUAAACACUUGACAGGGUGGAAGGAGCUUUGGAUUCAGUCAGAUGUAGAUGUAAAUCUCACCUACACUACUUUAUAACUGUGUGAUGCUGGUCAAAUCAUUUAUCCGUUCAGACUCAGUUUUUUCAAGUAAAUGACAUGUCUAUGUAAAGUGCCUUGAACAGUUCUUGAGCUUAGUGGAUUGAUGCCCAACAAAUGUAAUUAUUAUAUUAUUACUUUGAAGAAAUUACAUUAAUAAUUUGUGACUUUUAAAAGUACUAAUUUACUUUAGAAUGUAAUUUACUUUUUCUGGGAUCAUUUGAUAAAUGUUUAUAACGUAUUUCCAAAGAAUCUUUUAAUGUGUAAAAAUUUUUAAUAGGAUUGUUUCUUCUUAGAAUAUAUUAAAGCAAAAUUUUAGAAUAAUGUACCCAAUUAACCAUAAACACCUAUUUUUUUUACUCUGGGGUCAGUAAGGGAGAAAGAAAUGAGGUGGAUUUCAGAGGACCUCCUUCAACCAUUGGAAAGAAGGAAAAAGUACACCUCUGUAACCAUGCCACAUCUAUCCUAACAGAUUCCAGGAACACUGACUCUCUACUCGUGUGCAUCUAAUCCAUCUGUGGACCCCAGUUCCUGUUACCAAAAGUGGGGGGAUGUGUCAAGAAGUGUAUAGGUGUGCCAUACAAAAUGCAAUUGCCACAGAAGAGGCAGCUGGUUCCUACCUCUGGGUGAGGUACAGGAUCACUGAGAAAACUCCAUUCCUGAGACCAGAGAGACAGGGUCUGGCUGAACCUGAGGCUGAAGCAGGAAUACAGAAAGCUCUUCCAGCCUCUCACUGCCCUCCCCACCCCCCGGCAAGCACCAAAUAACAAGUACCAGGUAACAAGCAACAGAAGUGUAUGGUGGGGGGAAGGCGCAAGAGCAGGGAGAGACCACUUGUGAGGAACAAACUAAUAGAGAAGACUUAAGGUAGAAGCAGAACAUUGAGAAAAAGUCUCUAGUAAACCAAUUCUCACCCUAACCACAAGGUAAAUCCAGUGAAAUUUAAAACCAGUGGUAAACGUAGCAACAACAAAAGACAAACCCACCUCAAUUCCUAACUAUACUGACUCAACCCUCUACAGGCCAGCAGAAGAGGUGUCAUAUCCAGUAAUAAAUACUAUGUAUCUCAAUCUCUACUGUUCUACGCAUUAUGAGCAGCAAGAUAUCAGUAAGUACAAGAUAGGAAAAAGCAAAAAAGCUCUUCCAAACCCAUUGUCAAGAGACAAAGCAAUCAGAACCAGAUUUAGAGGUUGCAUGAAUAUUGGAACUAUCUGAUAGGAAAUCUAAAAUCAUUAUGAGAAAAAAUAAAUAAAAUCAUUGUGAGUAACAUGUUAACUCUCAGUGGAAAAGGUGAGGAACAGGAAUGAACAGACAAGGAAAUUAGAAGAGGGACUUCUCUGGCUGUCCAGUGGUUAAGACUCCACGCUUCUACUGCAGGGGGUGCACGUUCAGUCCCUGGUCAGGGAACUAAGAUCCCACAUACUUCGUGGCACGGCCAAAAAAAAAGGAAAAAAAGAAGCUAUAAGAAAGAGUCAAAUGAAAUGGUAGAAUAAAAAAUCAGGAUAACAAAUUAUAAGAAUGUCUUCUACAGACACAUUCAGAUUUGACACAGCCAAGGAAAGAAAGAGUGAAGUUGUUGAUAGGUAGGUAAAUAGAAAUUAUCCAAACUCAAGCUCAAAAAAAAAAGAGCAAAAAACCCAGAAACAACACAGCACUCAAAAGAUGUGGGACAAAAUCAUGUGGUCUAAUAUAUGUGUAAUUUGAAUUCCAGAAGGAGAGAGAAAAUGAGACAGAAGAAAUAUUUGAAGAGAUAGUGGUCAAGAAUUUUCUGAAAAUGUUGAAAUGUAUCAAACCACAGUUGCACAAAGCUCAAGAGAAUGCCAAGAAGGAUUUAAAAAACAAACAAACAAAAACUAGACACACUAUAUUCAAACUGCUGAAAGGCUAAAGUUACAGAGAAAAUCUUGUAGACAAAGGGGGGAAAAAGUGUUAUAUACAAACCUGUGCAAGCCAAACAACAGUGGAGUGAUGUCUUUAAAGUGCGAGAAGAAAAAAUCUGAUGACUCUGAAUUCUAUGCCCAACAAGACUAUCUUUUAAAGAUGAAGGAAAACUGCUUUUUCAGCCAAAAACUGGGAAAAUGCAAUAGCAUAUCUAUGCUACAGAAAAAUGUUAAAGGAAGUUCUUUUUUUUUUAAUAAAUUUAUUUAUUUA